CUUCCAUAUGGGUGAGUUUUUCCUGUAAAUAACCUUUUGGCUAUUUACCACUAUCAUCUUUUCAUUAUUGUCACCAUACAUUCAGCAACUAAACAGAUGUGCUCUUUCUGCUAGUAGGAAAAAAAGGUGUAAAUGUCCUCCCACCUGAAAAUGAAUAAUAGCUUGUUAAGACAAAAAUAAAACUGAAAUCAUAUAGUCUGAUUAUCAGCCAGUGUGAUAUGAUGACAACAUUGAGGUUUCUUUCUGAGUAUAACCAGAUAUGUGAGGCCAUAAGCUGAUUGACUUUAAUCACCUGGAGUAAGUAAUAAAUUCUAUAGCUGCUUGUUUCAUGUAGUUCUUUCACAGUACUGAACAAACAUGAAGUAAGUACAGACUGUUAUGAACAAAACUCUUUUGUGGAAUUAUACAUUCAGGCAAGCAGUGACUGCAAAUUUUAUCACCUCUGCUAACAAUCAUAAAGAAAUAACAAGCUUAAUUUAACAUCUAUUUAGAUGUGUGCAAAAAGCUCAUAGUUCUUAUCAUAAGGGUCUGCAAGCCCUUUAUGGCAUGUUCUCUUCAAAAGAGUGCUUCAGUUUACUGCAACUCCUGUAGGGGUAGCAAAUGCUUAUACUUAAUUUUUAUUUUUUUUUUGAGAAAAUUACUAACUCGCAACCAAGCCAACCAAAUAAAGUGCAGUUGAAUCUGAUGACACCAUUAGAUAUUGGCUUACACCCAUCAUUCCACCCUUCAUACUGAUAAAAACAUUGAGUUUAAAGUGCUAUUACUGCUGUCAAUAGUUUCCACAUAGAACCUCUUCUAGAGGAGCUACACUUUGUGCUUUGGCACACAGUGAAAAUUGGCCUAGACUGCUGAGCAAUUCCUAUGCAUUCUCACACAAGUAAUAUAACUCCUUUCAUCUGAUCACAGAUAGUUACAAGGCAGUUAUAUCUCUUCAUCUUUUGUAAGUCUUAUGCAUCCUCUGAAGAGUGUACAUGAUAUUCCCUUUAUGGAUAGGUCCCCUGAAGCAUUUGGAUAUAUGAAAAUUGUCAUUCAUCUUCAGGAAACUCGCACACUCUGAAUCUCACCAUUUAAAUUUGCUUCUUUGUUUUUCCUUUUUUUUUUCCUUCCCCUUUUUUCCUAGUCUUUUAGGUGACAGAGCACUGGCACAGGUAGUGGAGUCUCCUCCUUGGUGAUCUUCAGAAGCUACCUGGACAUAGGUCUGAGCACUUUCCUCUGGAUGGCACUGCUUGAGUCAGGUUGGGACCAAAUGGAUCCAGACAUCUUUCCAACCUCAGUAAUUCAGAGAUUCUGUGAUAAAAGAGAAAGGCAUAGAACUUCUGCUCUUAAGAUGCCCUAGGAAGCUGUCCUUAUGGACAAAGGAAAGGAGUGGAGCUGUAUUGGGGUUCUGGUGAAUGAGCUGGAUGCAAUCCAACAGUGUGCACUUGCAGCCCGGAAGACCAACUCUGUCUUGGGAUGCAUUAAAAGAGGGAUGGUCAGCACGGUGAAGGAGGUGAUUGUUCCCUUCUACUGUGCCCUUUUGAAGCCCCACCUGCAGUUCUGUGUCCAUGCCUGUGGCCUUCAACACAAUAAAGAUUUAGAGCUAUUGGAUCAGGUCCAGAGGAGGGUCAUGAAGAUCAGAGGACUGGGAGAGUCAUGCAAAGAAAGAUUGAUGGAACUGGGCUUAUUCAGCCUGGAAAAGAGAAGGCUCCAGGAAGGCCUUAUUGCAGCCUUUCAGUACUUAAAGGCAGCUUCUAAACAAGAAUGAAAUCAACUUUUUAUGCAAGCAGUUAGUGGUAGGACAAGGGGGAAUGGUUUCAAACUAGAAGAGGGGAGAUUUAGAUUAGAUGGAAAUUUUUUACUCAGACAGUGAGGACAGCCUGUAACAGGUUUACCAGAGAAGUUGUGGAUACUCCAUCCCUGAAGCCAUGCAAGGCCGUGUUGGCUGGAGCCCCGAGCAGUCUGAUAUAGUGGGUAACAACCCUGCCCAUGGCAGAGGAGGCAGAACUGUGUGAGUUUUAGGUUUCUUUUCCAAGAUUCUUUUCUAUGAUUCCAUGACUUGCUCAUCUGAGCUGCCACUGAAGACCACGAAGUCUUCAAAAUGCUAAGAUAAGAAGAAUAGAUAUAUGCUCUUUUUGAACUGGUUUAUUCAUAAUUAACAGAGUGAUAGUUUUUGUAACAGGCCUGAGUUUGGACUCACUCAUGAUUUUACUGUUGUGGGUUGUUUUUUUUUUUUGCACAAAAGCUAUGAGAGGUAGCUUAAACUUCAUGAAGAAGCUGCAUGUUUACAAGGAUGGAUUGCAUUUUGCAGGAGCAGUUUGGUACCUGCCACAUCAGAGAAGCAGCUGAGUUUCAUGGAUAGAGUUUCCAGCUGAGCACUCAGAAGCCGCUGGGAGUGCCACCACAUUUGCUCUGAGCAUCCUACUUAGAUUGAGGGCAUGAAAUAAGGAGUUCAAAUAUUUCUCCAUCAUGUGAUAUCUCAGGCACAAUUUCCAGAAAGAAUCCGGUUCUGGCACAUGCUAUAUGAUGUCUUUACAGAACAAGAACACUGUUUUAGAAAAGCCAAGAAUAAUUUAUUUGGGAGGUAUAGCUUUAAACAAGCGAGAACAGCUCACACUAUCCUGCUUGCUACUCAACUUAACAAGAUGCACAUGUGGCUUUCCUACACAGAUACAUAAGACAAGAGUACGCCUUGUUCAAGUGAAUUCUGUAAAUGGUGGUGUGUUUUGAAAAGCGAUUGGUCUGAAUGCUGAAUUGUAUCUAUGCAUUAUGCCUAGGAGAAAACGUUAACUUUUCCAGGUAUCUGUUGGAAACUUCAUUUCAAGGGUAAGUUUGAGGGCAGGCCAAGCAUCAUGUUUUUGUGGCUUCCCAAAUCAGGUACCACUAAAUGACAACAGUGAUACUUCUCCAAUGGUUACUCUGUUAUUUGGUAUCUGAAGUGAUUUCCAGGAACCCUUUCUGCAUACGCUAUCAAUAAGAUGAAGAGUGAUUAAAAAAUGGUGUGCUACAAGCAGUUCAGGUGCAGCUUCCUUACUCAUGUUUAGAAUGUCUCUUGAGUCUGUAGAAUAUCAGGCAUUUGAAACAUAGAAGGUUAUCGUGGGUAACAACCCAGACUGAAAUAAAAUGGACAGAUGUGGCAACUGUGGUUUAUGACCAUGCAUAACAGCAGAUUAGCAUGUAUCAGCUGGCAGGUGUUAAUUGUCCCCAAGUGAGACACCAGUUCUUGCGCUUGUUCUGGAGUGUACUGACACCUGUAUUACAGCUAAGACUGUGGAAAGAACAUGGACUUGAAAAGUUAAUUGAAUAGAUAAGGUAUGUUUUCUGGGGUAAAGUUCAUGAAUUUAUAAUGGUCCCUGAUUUCUUUUACCUUUCACUAGUUUCCAGCUAGUUGAAUAUUGGUUAAAUCCUAAAUAGAAACUGCAUUCGUCUUAAUGGACCUGGUAAAACAAAAUAGAUCUCCACAGAAACAAAUUUGCAUGUUCCUUGUCUGAAUUUUUACUUGAAUUUCAAUACAUCUUGUUUGAAUCUCCAGCUUGGCUCAAUUCAUGUUUAUUUUACUCUCUUACCAUCAGUAGUGACAACUCAGUAUCCAACUUCUACCUUCUUUUCCUGCACAGCUGUUUUGUUUUCUACUUAAUGUCCAAGAGCAGAGGUUUUGCUCAGAUAUUUGCUGAGUUUUCUCUUACUUUUGUUUCCCAGAUCUUCCUGUUGGAAACUGAAGAGUAUUUUAAACUUCAAUUUUGAUCUCUUAAGCUUAAUUUUGAAGUGUUAUCUAUACAGUAAGUGACUUGCCAGCACUGCAAUGAUGAGAGCUUUUAGCUCACGGAGUAGUCCUGCACUUACUGAAAUUAACAGUAGCAUCUAGAAAAAGCAGAUUUUGUCCUUAAUUUGUCUUGAAGAGCCAUUAAAGCAUUCCAGCUGUAAGCAGGUAUCUCAGAUGUUUUGUCUUAAUGUAGGUAUAAAUCAUAGCACGCUUCUGUUGAAAAGAAUAUUAAAAAAAAA